rnacentral:rRNA from 1 species
UUCCUACGGGAGGCAGCAGUGGGGAAUAUUGCACAAUGGGCGCAAGCCUGAUGCAGCAACGCCGCGUGAGGGACGACGGCCUUCGGGUUGUAAACCUCUUUUAGCAGGGAAGAAGCGAAAGUGACGGUACCUGCAGAAAAAGCGCCGGCUAACUACGUGCCAGCAGCCGCGGUAAUACGUAGGGCGCAAGCGUUAUCCGGAAUUAUUGGGCGUAAAGAGCUCGUAGGCGGUUUGUCGCGUCUGCUGUGAAAUCCGGAGGCUCAACCUCCGGCCUGCAGUGGGUACGGGCAGACUAGAGUGCGGUAGGGGAGAUUGGAAUUCCUGGUGUAGCGGUGGAAUGCGCAGAUAUCAGGAGGAACACCGAUGGCGAAGGCAGAUCUCUGGGCCGUAACUGACGCUGAGGAGCGAAAGGGUGGGGAGCAAACAGGCUUAGAUACCCUGGUAGUCCACCCCGUAAACGUUGGGAACUAGUUGUGGGGUCCAUUCCACGGAUUCCGUGACGCAGCUAACGCAUUAAGUUCCCCGCCUGGGGAGUACGGCCGCAAGGCUAAAACUCAAAGAAAUUGACGGA